UACAGAGGGUGCAAGCGUUAAUCGGAUUUACUGGGCGUAAAGCGCGCGUAGGCGGCCAAUUAAGUCAAAUGUGAAAUCCCCGAGCUUAACUUGGGAAUUGCAUUCGAUACUGGUUGGCUAGAGUGUGGGAGAGGAUGGUAGAAUUCCAGGUGUAGCGGUGAAAUGCGUAGAGAUCUGGAGGAAUACCGAUGGCGAAGGCAGCCAUCUGGCCUAACACUGACGCUGAGGUGCGAAAGCAUGGGGAGCAAACAGG
rnacentral:rRNA from 1 species